rnacentral:tRNA from 2 species
GCCGAGUUAGCUCAGCUGGUAGAGCAAUCGCCUUGUAAGCGAUAGGUCGUCGGUUCAAGUCCGACACUCGGCACCA